GCCAUACUGAAGAAUAACAAAUAGGGCUGCUCCCCUUUCUUCUACUCUAGCCUGAGGCUUCUCAGUUUGGGUGUUUAAGAAAAGUAAAAUAAAGGAGAGGGAAGAGGAAGGGCAUGUUUGGACAGGACAUUCACACUUCUCUUUGCCCUUCAGGGCUGGAUUGGGCGAAAUGGCUUAACCUGCCUCUUGAGUAUUCCGAUUGGCUAAGCGAUGCAACCGCCUAGCCAAUUAGAUGGAGCCUCUUGGGGUGAUUCCACGACUAGCUGGAAACAGAUCCUCACCGUCAUCCGGACUCCCCCCGAAAGUCAAUCGUGCACCUAACGAGGCAUCCUAUCAUUUCUGGCAGGAGCUCUUAAGAACAGUGCUCGCUAAGGAUAUCUUUGGUAACAUCCCAAGCAGGGUUCUUCUUCCGGGUGUUAGGGCCAAGGUUGCUUUAGCUGUGGUGAAUUGGACCGCUUGGGGCUCAUCAUCUCAGCGGCUGCAUCAUCUGCGGACUUGGUCAAGGCUGCGAAAAAGCUUAGGACCCACAGUCGAAUUUCCUAAGGGCCGGGUCUUCCCAGUUCUCUAUCUUCCAUUCCAUCAUUAAAAAGCUCCAUUCUGAACAAACUGCUCUGAGCUUUGGAGAAGGAAGAAGUUUUGAAUUUUCUACUUUAUAAUGCAACCGUUUUCUUCGAAGACUGACACCCUGUGCACGGACUGGAGCAUCUCGUGAAUCCUUGAGAGCAUCAAAGAUGCUUCAGAUAUCCGUGUAUGACCUCCAUCACUGAACUGAAAUAUGGGGGAAGAAAAUACCUCUUCUUAAAACACAGAUCAGGUGCUGCUGAUGGCACCAAGGGUAGGCCAGGAGAGUUGAAGCCUCCGUCAUUUGUCAUGUCACAGAGGAGAGCCGGGCAACCCGCUGACUCCACCGUGUUGAGUCACCACUGAAAUGACAUCGCAAGGGUUUGCCAUCAGCACCUCGGGGCCCCGGCUCUCAGCACCCGGGGGUCCCGGCUCUCAGAACCCGGGGGUCACAGCUCUCAGCACCCCAGAGUCGCAGCUCUCAGCAUGCUUCUGAGAAGCUAACCACAGCCCAUCUCUUCUACCUUAACCAAAAGGUAAACAUCCAUUUCUUCCAGGAUCCCCAAGCCUGUUCCCACUUUGCAGUAUCAAUAGUUGAAUGUGACACUUGUCUAAACACAUAGCACUUGCUUGAGGUCCAGAAUGGAGAUGAUGGUUCGUGGUUUCUCUGUGCUUCCAACCUGGAAGACAGCGGGAAAUGCAGCAAAAAGAAGCCCUGACUGUAUAUGACAGUCCUGCUGGGACGUGCCACACUCUCCUCUUGGGUAACGUCACUGUCAGUUCUCCACCCAACGGCCAGUUCUUUCCUGACUCUGCGUUCUGCGAGUCCACACUUUGUCCAGAUGUCUGCCUCUUCCUGAUCUGACUCGGAGCGGACCCCAGCUAGUCUAAUCUAAUCAUGCAAGGCCAGUGCUGCUUGUCAGCCACCAGGUUAGGGAUGAUCCGGUUCUGGUCGGUGAGGCGUGCGGGGCAGCCUGCCAGUGGGUUCCUGGAAGUGUCACCUUGAUUUUGAAGUUCAGUCAUAUCAGCAUUUGUUCCUCCUCUUCCACGGGAUGUUGUUGCAUCAGGACGCGGUGCCUGGGACGGGGUGGCCACCUGGCAGCCCCGGAGGCACCGUGCUGAAGCAGUGCCAAGCUCUGGAAAUUGACACCCAGGGCUCUAUGACCCUGUGAAGUCAUUGACUUAACCAAAACCACAGAGGUUCUAAACCAGGGCCUCUUAUAUGUGACAUGAUUUUUAUUUUACUCUUUUUUUCUUUUAAAAGUUCAUUUAUUUGAAAGGCACAGUGACAGAAAGAAGAAGAGACAAAGAGGGAGAUCUUCCAUAUGCUGGUUCACUCCCCAAAUGCCCACAAGCCUGGGAUAAGCCAGGCUGGACCCAGGGGCCCAGAACUCCAUCCAGGUCUCCCACGUGGGUAGCAGGGGCCCAAGCACUCGGGCCAUCCCCUGCUGCUUUCCCAGGCAAAUUAGCAGGGAGCUGGAUCAGUGGAAAUAGAGCAACGGGAACUUGAACCAGCACUCUGGUAAGAGAUGAUAGCAUUGCCUUGUGGCAGCUUAACCUUUGUGCCACAGAGCCGGCCCCUGAUUUUUUCCCACUAUUUAAGCUUUAUGAUUUAAUGUUUCCUUUUUCCUGCAGCAGAAACACCUUAACGAGUACCAGUGACCGUUUUCAUCAAGCAGAUGGUGAACGCAGAGCCCUGGCCUUGUAUAACUCUAGGCUACAACAUAAUCAGUGUCCGGGAGUUGGUACAGAGCAGUUUCCAGAAAGCAGGCAGUGAGCAAACAGCUUGCUCCAGGUCACAGCGUGCAGCUGCGAGGAAGCCAGGAGAAGUCGAGCCAAAAGAAUGGCUUCUUCCCAGAAGGCCAGCUGGAGCGGGACGCCAGGCACCUCCGGCCACUUCCCUCCGCAUCUCUAAGCCUCGGCUUAUCCCAACCGUAAAAUAUGUGCAUUGUGAGAAUACAAAAAUAACGCACUGCAAGCCAUCUAGCAAAAUGCUGGCCGGCCCCUACGAGAUGGGCAUUUAGUGUAGGAUAGCUUCUAUUUGAACCUGCUCAGCCAUUCACUCGCUGUUCUUCCUUCGGAUCCUUGACAGCAGCAAAGUGCCUGUGGCCCGUUUACCGCCUACUGCUGGAGACGCCACACAUUCCUAGGGCAGAAGGGAGGCAUUGUGCUCCACGGCGGAGACUCAGUCUGAGGCUCUCAUUCGCUGAUUGUCCACCCAGCUCCAGCUCCUGCGUGUGAAAGCCCUCUGCGGUCAGGAGAGAUUGAGACCAUGCCUGAAAAGCCAUCUUCUUGCGCCAGAGUGCCACCUGCGAACCUAGGGGGAGACCGGGUUGCUAGGAGUCAUUGUGAUCGCGUGCUGUGCCACUUCCGCACACUCCUCCCGAUUUUUUUUUUUUUCAUGACUACUUGUUAGCUUCCAGUGUGAGAGAAGGAGAAUACAAAACCCUGGGAUGCUGUUGCUUAGAAUGAUAAUUGCUCAUUAGAACCCCAUUUUGUUCUAAUUGUACGAUUCAUUACGCUGAACUCUUCAUUAGAAGCAUUGUAAAAAUUCUGACAACUCGAAUGUGUUAGGCUGGAUAUCGAAAUGAAUCUGAUUGAGAGCUUUACUCUUUGUUAAGGGCGUUUUCUAAUUAAUAUACAUGUGAGAAGCCAGGAAGUGAGAGUCGCCAUAUUCUAUUCCGGAGGUUAUUGUUGAAGAUGUGUUUCUUUUAACAAAUGCAACAUGAUUUUGAAACAAGAAGCUGUCUUUAGAACAGAAAGAAAAAUUGGCCCAUAAACCUGAACCAUUCACAAUGAGGACACAUCUGUCUGCAUGAAUACAAGUGGUUCAGAAUUAUCUGCAAUUAAUAGGAAACCAAAUAUCUUCCUAGUUCUGUUGGGGGCUUUGGGUACAAAUGGCAGAUUGAACAUUCACACUCAUCUCCCUUUCUUCUUGGAAGUCUACUAAAAUGACAGUUACGGGAACUGAGCCAGGCAGUAAACCCACAAGGGCAAAGACAAUGAAGGAGACAAGAGUAAGAACAUUCUGGAAGUUGAAAGUGGGUCACGGGUACUAGCAUUGCAGACCCCAGAGGGCGGAACUCUGAGCAGGUACACUGGGAAGUGAGAACAAACUAACUGCUCUUCAGAGGGCCCCACACACUCAAGAACUGGGGGGCUAGGACUGGAGGUAAAAGUGGGGCUGCAGAAAGACGAGCCAGGGUCUGCUCAGGCAGUGCUUGGGACCCUGGAUGUCACCCUCACCCUGCCCAGCCGAGGCACUGCUCCUGGUCUGCACUGGCACAAGCUGGGAGGUUUCCAUCUCCAAGUACAACGAUGCGCAGGGUUCUCUGGACUAGAAAGCUUUGUAGAUAGUUGAUGGCAGGAGACCUGCUAACGCACACCCUGAGAGGCGGGGGGGGGGGUGUCAAGUGGACAUGUACGUGUUUAACGAGGAGACCCUCCCUCCAAGCCCUCUUGGACCACCCAGGCAGCCAGGCCUAGACCCUGUGUACGAGAUUGGGAGAUUCUUGUUUCAGGAAUCGGCCCAGCCCACGUGAGAGUACCUGAAUAUACUGGUGCCCGGGACUCCUCAAGAUGAAACAGGCAGUUAGAGCAAGGCUUUCAAAUGUGUGGCAUCAGCACCAGCGGAGAACUUGCUAAAAAUGCAAAUUCUUGGGGCAGGUGUUUGACCUAAUGGUUAAAGACACCUGCAUGCCCUAUCCAACUGCCAGCUCCAUCCCAGCUCCAUCCCUGGUUCCAGUUUCCUGCUAUUGCACAGCCCGAGAGGCAGCAGGUGAUGGCUGGAGGAGCUGGGUUCCUGCCCCCCACAAGGGAGACGCGGAUUGUGUGCCUGACUCCCAGCUUCUUUGCCCAGCUCUGGCUGGUGCAGGUAUUUGGGGAGUGACCCCACAGAUAGCUACCUGUCUUCUCUGUCUGUCUCUUCACUCUGCCUUUCAAAUAAAUAAAUGAAAGGUUUUUAGUGCAAAUUCUUGCACCCAGCUCCAGACCGGCUGGAUCUGAAAUGCUGGAUGGGGGUGGGGCCCGGAGACCCGGGUUUAACAAAUCAACCGCCAAGGGCGUGCUGCGGUUUGAGAACCAGUGCUCUCUGGCAAAGUUUCCUUUCCUCGUCAACGUGAGCCCACAGUCCAGGGUGAGGAGCUACCGGAAGAAAGGUGAAGAACAAAAUAGGGCUAAAGGAAUGAAAACCUUGGAGGAAAAGGGACUACGCAGGGAAGAAUUACUCAGGAAAAAGCAAAUGGUAUCUUUAGGGAGCUAAGAAAGAUAGUUCACCCAUGAAACCAAAGAAAGGUGCUAUUUUUUAAAAAAGAAAUCCUUUAGAAAACAACAAAAUAAACUUUACAGAAACUUUAAAUCUUUUAAAAAAUUCUUCAUAGAAGUGUAGAAUCUAAUAACAACAGCAAACAACUAAAAUAUAAGACAAAAAACAUAGAAAAUAGGAAGGAAAGAAUGGGAAAAUCCAGAUUGGUUUAGGAGCAUGUGAACCGCUGGUGUAGGAGACUGAACACACAAAUAAGAAGAGGUCUGGACAAGGGAGCAGGACACACUCAAUGCAACCACUGAGAAAUGUCCCCAGGAGUCAAGAACGUGUAUUCUCAAAUUGCAAAGUCCUCCCCGACUCCCAGUACCAGGCAAUGGGCGGAAAUAGGUUCACAUCACUGUCCAUUGCAGGAUGUGGGAAUAAAGAGAAGACAUCGCAGGUUCCAGAAAGAGAAACACACAUGUCCUGAGGAUCAGGAACCAGAAUGGCUGCUGACCUUCCGGGAGGGAGAGGACAUGCGGGUUGACAAGGGAGCCAGGUGUCAGGAGCCUAAGCAAAAGGAUUGCCCAAGUAGAUUCUGUGCCCUGACACACAACUCUCAAAUGUGGGCAGAGAUGACACGUCAUCAGCUGUGAACGGAGAAUAAAGACGUUUAAAGCACACGGAGGGUCAAAGGUCUUAGACUGAGACAGGGUGGAACCUACUGUUGUAGUAACAGCUGACUCACAGGGCAGAGACGGGCAUCAGCCACAGACAGUGACCACUGCCAUCAGCAUCCACUCUCAUCUCUCUGCCAUCCGUGCUCCACCUAUAACCAAAGAGUUCUUCAUAAAACAGACGUGCAGUCAGCUGCAGCCCUGUUUAACAUCAUUUGGUGCCUCUCCACUGUCUUCAGGGUAAGUUAAGGCUUAGAAUGGCACACAAGGCCUUUCCCACUUGUCCUGGAGCCUCUUAGCCUGCUGGUCUCUCCCAGGCAAGCUUCAUGCCACCCUGGCACAUGUUCAUAGCUCAUAGUGCAACUUGGCUUCAGCAGGUUAUGCUGUCACACACAUGCCUGGGCUCUUCCCCAAUGCCCCACCCAACCAAUGUCACAAUAAGUAAUUGUUACAUGAGCUAUUGUCCUUCUCAUUCCUGGUGUUGCCUCCCUCUGUCUGAUUCAGACGCUGGCCCUCAGUGCUCCCAGGACAUCCAUGCCUCUCCCAUGACAAGUGUCACAGCACAGCAGUGGUGAGUUUUUUGUUUUCUCUACCAACACGCACUAUUCUUGGGGGUAAUGGAAUGUCUUAUUGGUACGGUAUCAUCAGUAUCCGCCAAGGCCUACUCUUGCCCUGGGAAAUAGCAGGUGCACAGAAUAAGCUGAGAUGACUUUCUUGAAUCAAUAAUGACAGAGUCUGUUUCCAACAGGGGCAGUUGAUAACAAUUUCCUUGUCAUCAUCAUAAUUUAACUCAUUGGUGCCCUGUGUUUGAGGACAAAUGGGGUAAUAACCCCGGGUACGUGGCAGGUUACUGUGGGGAGCAACUCGGACUAGACUGUUACUGGAAUUAAGACUUAUUCUAUGCAUCUGCUCUCCCACAAUAUGGCGCUGAGAAGGGAGUAACAACUUCUACGCAGCUGCCUCUCGCCAACUUGAGUGAUGACCUGCAGGAGCUGAUCCUGCUCCUGAUUGGAGGAGAGUAGCGUACUCGGCGUGUGGGUAGCAGAGUUGGGAUUGGUGGAAGAGGACUAUAAAGGAGGAGAGAGACAACAUGCACCAGGAACAUCUAAGAGGAACACCUGUGCAGCCCCCGAGAGAGCCGGCCGGCGGUGUGCCGCUCCCCCGCGGAAGUGGGGAAAGUGGCAGGGGGAACCGCCCUUCCACGGAGGUGGAAGGGUCGGUAGCCAACCCGGGAAGAACCAGCAGCAAACCUGGGGAGGGCCGAGCAGACAAAAGAACAGCGCAGGGUCCUGUGUAGUUCCUCCGCGAAGAGGGGGAGCGACAGGUUACCUCAAAACAGUGUCUAACGUCCUAUGCCACAGAUGGUAGCAGGGUGCUGAGACAGGUAGAGGCAGGUCUGUGACACUUCUUUCAGCAAUUUGCACUAGCCCUGGCAAGCAGGUCUCCAACCUGAAAAAGGGUAUUGUGGGUACAAUAAAUGUAACACAUCCGUCAUGAGUAGUCACGUACCGUUGGACAAAGUUUUCCAAAAUGUCUACACGCUGUCAGAUUUGGUCAAUGCCACUCUUGAUGUCCACGACUACUUUUUGUCCAGAGUAUAUCACUCCCUGAUUUCUGUUGGCAUGCUAUAGUAUCAAGGAACAGAAAAACAAGUAAUGGGGGGCAGUCCCCCAAAACCUCACUUCUCUUCCCUUUACUGAAUGAACACAUUCCUAUUAAAUUCAAAUUAGUCACCACUGGGACUUGGAGCCGUGGGCAUGCUUAUAUCAGGCACACACCGGGGUGUUCUCUGGGGAAGGUUGCACGCAUCGUCCAUCCCUGUAGGGUCUUCCAGCCCUUCCAGUUGUCACCAGCCAUUCCUUCAGUGUCUGGUCUUGUUUACAAGGAGCUUCUAAGUCCUCUAGCAGAUUUCUGGAAACUAAAGCAAUCGACUUAUGUGUGCACGUGUUUCUUCGACAGAGGGUGAGUCUCCAUCCUGUAGAAGGCUUGCACACAGGCUGUGGUCACCGGGAUCCCUCCCCUGGGAGCAGGCUGUAGUCACAUCACAGGCCUUCCUCCUGCUUCUCUGCUUCUUGCUUGUUCUGUCUCGGACUGUGCCACUCCUGACUCACUGUCCCCGUGACCACAUGCGAGAGCCAGCCACGAAUAGAGUCAAUCCAGAAACCACUCCCUCCUCCCACACAGGGAGGGAGUGAGGCAAGACACAGCAGAGCCAGCCAGCCAUAAAAGAGCGGACAAUGGAAUCUGCAAAAUAUAUUCGCAGCAGCCUGCAAGCCUCACCUCCAACUCUAAAUCCAUGUUCCUGAGCUUCCUGACUAGUCUCCCAGAGGUUUUUAUUUGUGUUUAUAUAUAGAUCCAUAUAUAUAUGUGUAUCUAUAUGGAUCUAUAUAUUAUAUAUAGAUACAUAUAUGUAUAUAUGUAUGUAGAUAUAUGUAUCUAUGUAUGCAGAUAUUUAUGUAUAUAUGUAUGUAUACAUAUACAUAUAUAUACACAUAUGUAGAUAGAUAGAUAUACCUGGGUCUCCUACAUGGGUGGCAGGGAUCGAAGCACUUGGGCCAUCAUCUGCUGUUUUCCCAGGUGCGUUAGCAGGGAGCAAGAUCAGAAGUGGAACAGCCUGGACUCGAACUGGAGUUCAUAUGGGAAGUCGGAGUCACAGGCAACGGCUUAACCCACUGUGCUGCAACACCAGCCUGGUUUAGAGAACUACAAAAAAAAAAAAAAAAGUACCAGGAACCUACUGGAAGCACAGGACAUCAAGAACAAAAGCACUGGGACCGGCGCCGUGGCUCACUAGGUUAAUCCUCCGCCUUGCGGCACCGGCACCCCAUAUGGGCGCCGGGUUCUAGUCCCGGUUGCCCCUCUUCCAGGCCAGCUCUCUGCUGUGGCCCGGGAGUGCAGUGGAGGAUGGCCCAAGUGCUUGGGCCCUGCACCCGCAUGGGAGACCAGGAGGAAGCACCUGGCUCCUGGCUUCGGAUCGGCGCAGCGCCCUGGCGGUAGCAGCCAUUUGGGGCGUGAACCAAUGGAAGGCAGACCUUUCUCUCUGUCUCUCUCUCACUGUCUAACUCUGCCUGUCCAAAAAAAAAAAAAAAAGCACUAUCACUUUCCUCACGAAAUCUUCCCCACACUGUGUUACCGCGAGAACCUUCCUUCUCCACCCUGCUUAGCAAGCUACAGCUCUGCUUGGGGUAUCUGUGGUUAGCUUGGCUUCUGCCCUGAAUUUCUGGCCAGGAGACCGAAUCAAGGCUCCAGGUGGGAAUUGUUCUCUCCGCUGAAGAUUUCUCUUCCCUUCUGACAGUGAGCAGAGUUUUGUUCUCAGCAAGGCCUCGGCUUGGCUCGGCUCCAGAAUGUCUGCGUGGAAGUGCUUUGGGGCCAGCCCCUGGGGAUCUUGUCUCAGAGCUGUAUUGGAAAAGCAAGCACCCUCUUGAACACUUAGACUUUAUAUCACUUUAAAUGAAAACUGUCAAGAUGAUUCGAUUUGCCCAAAACUGAAGGUUAAAACAAAUUAUUUUCCCUAACCAGUGUUUUUUUUUUUUUUUUUAAUCUCUUUUAUUUGGGGUAGUUUGAAGGACUGGAAGCUUGGGGCUCCGUGUCCCACCUCCUUUGAAUUCUGGGAUGAUGUUGGGAGCAGAGACAUUCUGGGGAAGGGCAACCCUUCACGUUCCUAGGAACAAAGCCCCUUGGGGCUGACCUGUUCCAAGUCCCUCUCAGUGAGCCUGCCCAGUAGACACUGAGCCCCUGUGGGGCAGGCUUUGCUGCAGUAGUCAAGAUCCCUCUUGGGGUGCUAAUAGCCCAUAUUGGGAUACCUGGGUUCAAACCCUAG